rnacentral:sRNA from 15 species
GGUUUUAACCCAUAUAACCAAGGUUAGUAUGGAAUUCGAUCAUUCGCAAGAGUGUGUCGAAAACACCAAAUUUUGACAAGCUUCUUCGGGGUAUCCGUGGGAGCAAA